rnacentral:rRNA from 1 species
GAAGCAGCCACCCUUUAAAGAAAGCGUAAUAGCUCACUAGUCGAGUCGGCCUGCGCGGAAGAUGUAACGGGGCUAAAACUAUGUGCCGAAGCUGCGGAUUUGACAUUAGUCAAGUGGUAGGGGAGCGUUCUGUAAGCCGAUGAAGGUGUAUUGAGAAGUAUGCUGGAGGUAUCAGAAGUGCGAAUGCUGACGUGAGUAACGACAAAACGGGUGAAAAACCCGUUCGCCGAAAGACCAAGGGUUCCAGUCCAACGUUAANNNNNNNNNNNNNNNNNNNNNNNNNNNNNUCGGGGCUGGGUGAGUCGACCCCUAAGGCGAGGCCGAAAGGCGUAGUCGAUGGGAAAAUGGUUAAUAUUCCAUUACUUCUGUGUAAUGCGAUGAGAGGACGGAGAAGGCUAAAUCAGCCUGGCGUUGGUUGUCCAGGUGAAAGGAUGUAGGCAUGUAUCUUAGGCAAAUCCGGGGUACUCUAUGCUGAGAUCUGAUAGCAAGCUGUACUUGUACAGCGAAGUGGUUGAUGCCAUGCUUCCAGGAAAAGUCUCUAAGCUUCAGUUACACAGGAAUCGUACCCGAAACCGACACAGGUGGUCAGGUCGAGUAGACCAAGGCGCUUGAGAGAACUCUGCUGAAGGAACUAGGCAAAAUGGUACCGUAACUUCGGGAGAAGGUACGCUGUUGUUGGUGAUGGAACUCGCUUCCUGAGCUGACGACAGCCGCAGAAACCAGGCCGCUGCAACUGUUUAUUAAAAACAUAGCACUCUGCAAACACGAAAGUGGACGUAUAGGGUGUGAUGCCUGCCCGGUGCUGGAAGGUUAAUUGAUGGGGUUAGCGUAAGCGAAGCUCUUGAUCGAAGCCCCAGUAAACGGCGGCCGUAACUAUAACGGUCCUAAGGUAGCGAAAUUCCUUGUCGGGUAAGUUCCGACCUGCACGAAUGGCAUAAUGAUGGCGGCGCUGUCUCCAGCAGAGGCUCAGUGAAAUCGAAAUCGCUGUGAAGAUGCAGUGUACCCGCGGCUAGACGGAAAGACCCCGUGAACCUUUACUGCAGCUUGACACUGAACUUUGACCUUACUUGUGUAGGAUAGGUGGGAGGCUUUGAAGCUGGAACGCUAGUUCCAGUGGAGCCGUCCUUGAAAUACCACCCUGGUAAUGUUGAGGUUCUAACUCUGUCCCGUGAUCCGGGACGAGGACCGUGUCUGGUGGGUAGUUUGACUGGGGCGGUCUCCUCCUAAAGAGUAACGGAGGAGUACGAAGGUGCGCUCAGCGUGGUCGGAAAUCACGCGUAGAGUAUAAAGGCAAAAGCGCGCUUAACUGCGAGACCCACAAGUCGAGCAGGUACGAAAGUAGGUCUUAGUGAUCCGGUGGUUCUGUAUGGAAGGGCCAUCGCUCAACGGAUAAAAGGUACUCUGGGGAUAACAGGCUGAUACCGCCCAAGAGUUCAUAUCGACGGCGGUGUUUGGCACCUCGAUGUCGGCUCAUCUCAUCCUGGGGCUGAAGCAGGUCCCAAGGGUAUGGCUGUUCGCCAUUUAAAGAGGUACGCGAGCUGGGUUUAGAACGUCGUGAGACAGUUCGGUCCCUAUCUACCGUGGGCGCUGGAAAUUUGAGAGGAUCUGCUCCUAGUACGAGAGGACCAGAGUGGACGAACCUCUGGUGUACCGGUUGUGACGCCAGUCGCAUCGCCGGGUAGCUAUGUUCGGAAGGGAUAACCGCUGAAAGCAUCUAAGCGGGAAGCCUACCUCAAGAUAAGAUUUCCCUAGGACUUUAUGUCCUCUAAAGAGCCGUUCGAGACUAGGACGUUGAUAGGUUGGAUGUGGAAGCAUAGUGAUAUGUGAAGCUGACCAAUACUAAUUGCUCGUGAGGCUUGACUAUACAACACCCAAGCAGUUG